AUGGGUAUGCCCUGCUUCCCCAUUUUCAUCCUCCUGUUCUUGUUUCCUUUCAGCAAAUCUGACGAUCAACUGACACAGGGGAAGCCACUCUCCCCUGGUGAUCUGCUCGUCUCCAAGGAUGGCGUCUUCGCUCUCGGCUUCUUCUCCCCCGCCAACUCCAACAGGAGCCUAUAUGUUGGAAUUUGGUUCUACAACAUCCCGGAGAGCAGCCGCGCCAUCGUAUGGGUUGCCAACCGCGACAGCCCGGCCACCACCGCUUCACCCGCGACACUCGCCAUCAGCGUCAAGUCCGACCUCGUGCUGUCGGAUUCUGAAGGCCGCAUGCUUUGGAUGACAAAGAACAACAUCACGGCCGAUGAAGACGCGAGAGCCUCUGCGGUGCUGCUCGACACGGGGAACUUGGUCCUCCGGUCUCCGAACGGCACAGUCGUAUGGCAGAGCUUCGAUCACCCGACCGACACCAUCUUCCCGGGCAUGAGAUUUCUGCUGAGCUACAAGGGCCGUGUGGUGGGCCGCCUUGUCGCUUGGAAGGGCCCGGAUGACCCAUCCGUAGGAGACUUCUCGUUCGGUCUGGACCCAGACUUGGGCAUGCAGAUGGUCACUUGGAACGGAGCCAAGCUGUACUGCCGCAUCAGCGUUUGGAACGGCGCAUCGGUGUCCGGUGGCACAUACCCUGGCAACAACAGCUCCGUCGUGUACCAGACCAUUGUCAACACAGGGGACAGGUUCUACCUAAUGUACUCGGUCUCGGACGACUCACCGUACGCGCGCAUCAUGCUCGACUACACCGGCACCAUGAGGCUCCUCACCUGGAACAGCUACUCCUCAUCAUGGAUAGCCACAUCCGAGCGCCCCUCCGGCGGUUAUGGUGUCUAUGGCUCGUGUGGCCUGUUUGGCUACUCUGACUUCACGGGGGCCACCCCCACAUGCGAGUGCUUGGAUGGGUUUGAGCCUGAUCCAAUGAAUUCCUCGAGAGGGUGCCGGAGAGUGGAAGCGCUGAAGUGUGGCAGCAAAAAUCAUUUUCUGCGCUUGUCCGGAAUGAAGGUGCCUGACAGGUUCUUGCACAUCCGAAACAGAAGCUUUGACCAGUGCGCGGCGGAGUGCAGCGGCAACUGCUCGUGCACAGCGUAUGCUUACGCCAACCUCAGCAGUGCAGGCACUCUGGGGGAUCAGACAAGGUGCUUGGUUUGGACAGGGGAGCUUGUCGACACGUGGAAGACCAACAACUAUGGCGAGAACCUGUACAUUCGCCUUGGGGACUCUCCUGCUGCAGUUCAGAAAAAUAGCAAUUUAGUGAAGAUUGUGCCACCGGUUGUAGCAUGCCUGCUACUACUCACGUGCAUAGCCAUUGUCUGGAAAUCAGGGGUACGGCGGAAGAAGGAAAUCAAGAAGAAACUGAUGCUACGAUACUUGGGUGCUUCUAGUGAUCUUGGAGGCAAAAAUUCAGAUUUUCCGUUUGUUAGUUUUGAAGAUAUUGUGGCCGCAAAGGAUAAUUUCUCCGACUCCAAUAUGCUUGGAAUGGGAGGUUUCGGCAAAGUUUACAAGGGAAUACUGGAAGAUGACAAGGAAGUUGCUAUCAAAAGGCUUGGCAGUGGUUCUGGGCAAGGUAUAGAGGAAUUCAGAAAUGAAGUGACUCUAAUUGCCAAAUUGCAGCACAGAAACCUAGUUAGACUUCUUAGUUGCUGCAUUCAUGAUGAUGAGAAGUUAUUGAUCUAUGAAUACAUGCCUAACAAAAGCCUGGAUUCCUUCCUUUUCGAUAAUACAAGAAAAGAUGUCCUUGAUUGGAUGACACGGUUCAAAAUAAUUAAAGGGGUGGCAAGAGGCCUUCUUUAUCUCCACCAAGAUUCAAGAUUAACAAUAAUUCAUAAGCAAGCAACAUCUUGUUGGACAAUGAAAUGA
rnacentral:rRNA from 1 species